GUUUAAAGGUAUUGUGGCAUAAGCUGUCGAACCGUGUCAGGAUGGAAACAUAGCAGCACUAAGGCAAUCCUUAUGGGUAUGAUAUUUUUAAAAAGA
rnacentral:SRP_RNA from 1 species